rnacentral:rRNA from 1 species
CACAAUGGGCGCAAGCCUGGAUGCAGCCAUGCCGCGUGUAUGAAGAAGGCCUUCGGGUUGUAAAGGUACUUUCAGCAGUGAGGAAGGUGGGUAUGUUAAUAGCAUAUUCAUUUGACGUUAGCUGCAGAAGAAGCACCGGCUAACUCCGUGCCAGCAGCCGCGGUAAUACGGAGGGUGCGAGCGUUAAUCGGAAUUACUGGGCGUAAAGCGCAUGCAGGUGGUUUGUUAAGUCAGAUGUGAAAGCCCGGGGCUCAACCUCGGAAUUGCAUUUGAAACUGGCAAACUAGAGUACUGUAGAGGGGGUAGAAUUUCAGGUGUAGCGGUGAAAUGCGUAGAGAUCUGAAGGAAUACCGGUGGCGAAGGCGGCCCCCUGGACAGAUACUGACACUCAGAUGCGAAAGCGUGGGGAGCAAACAGGAUUAGAUACCCUGGUAG